GGCGGACGGGUGAGUAACGCGUGGGCAACCUGCCUUACACAGGGGGAUAACAGCUAGAAAUGGCUGCUAAUACCGCAUAAGACCUCAGUACCGCAUGGUAGAGGGGUAAAAACUCCGGUGGUGUAAGAUGGGCCCGCGUCUGAUUAGGUAGUUGGUAGGGUAACGGCCUACCAAGCCGACGAUCAGUAGCCGACCUGAGAGGGUGACCGGCCACAUUGGGACUGAGACACGGCCCAA
rnacentral:rRNA from 1 species